AAAUCCGUUGACUUUAAAAAUCGUGAGG
rnacentral:tRNA from 2 species